UCGCGGAAGUGACGUGUCAAAUCGUGCCAGAGGAAGUUUGUGUGGCGGCGGCGCUGGAAGAGAAAGUUUUCCCGAAGCGAGCACUCGCGGAACGAGAAUAACCAACGACAACAGCCGCGCUGCGGUAUCGAGCGAAACGGAGCUGAAAGAAGGCGCGUCGUUGAUGCUCGUUGCAGCGUUGGAGACGUGCGCGGUGUACUCCUCCUCGCCCUGAGAUGGGGAAGGAGCAGGAACUGCUGGAGGCGGCGCGCACCGGGAAUCUGGCCGCCGUCGAGAAGCUCCUGUCCGGCAAGAGGCAGUCAGGCGGUUCGGGCCCCGCGAGCGGCAGCGGGGGAUCGUCCGGUAAUGUCGGGAGCGGUGGACACAGCGCUUCUCAUCCGCUCUCCAGUCUACUCAGUAUUUGGAGGGGACCAAAUGUGAACUGUGUGGAUAGCACUGGAUACACACCUCUACACCAUGCUGCUUUAAAUGGACACAGUGAGGUAGUUGAGGUAUUGCUGCGUAAUGAGGCUCUGACGAACAUGGCCGAUAAUAAGGGCUGUUAUCCUCUACACCUCGCUGCAUGGAAGGGAGAUCAACGCAUUGUCAAACUUCUCGUUCAUCAGGGACCAUCUCAUCCUAAACUCAAUGAACAGAACACUCUAGAAAACAAAGAGUUCAAACGCUGUGGCCCGUUUGACCCCUAUAUUAAUGCCAAGAACAAUGAUAACGAAACACCGUUGCAUUGUGCAGCACAGUAUGGACACACACAGGUGGUGCAGCUGCUGCUGGAAGAGUUAACCGAUCCCACCAUGCGUAAUAAUAAGUUUGAGACACCGCUGGAUCUGGCCGCUCUCUACGGCAGGCUGGACGUUGUCAAACUUUUGAUUUGUGCCCAUCCCAACCUACUCAGUUGCAAUACUAAAAAACACACCCCUCUCCAUCUGGCAUCUCGUAAUGGACACCUGUCCGUGGUAGAGGUUCUUCUGGCGGCUGGUGUGGACAUCAACUACCAGACAGAUAAAGGUAGCGCUCUUCAUGAAGCAGCCCUCUAUGGAAAAACAGAAGUGGUACUAAAACUUCUCAACGCAGGUAUCGAUGUGAAUAUUGUAGACUGUAAGAAUCUGACAGCGCUGGACACUGUUAGAGAUAUGCCCUCUCAAAAGAGCAGACAGAUCGCUGGACUCAUUCAGGCUCAUAUGAGUGGCUGUCCGUUAAACAUAACUCCGCCUUCUCCACCUGUGACUACAACUCAAAACAGCUUGAGCCCCAAGAAGAAAGGAGAAAUGGAGCAGCAGGUCAUUGAUCUUAUUUCGGCUAUGGAGGAGAGUCCAUAUGAAGCUCUGUGUGAAGCGUCCUCGUGUCAAUCGCUCGACAGUCUCGCCAGUGGAAAAUCAUCCGACAGAGAUUCCGGCCGACCGGACAGUGAAGCUGGAAAGAAAGAGCGAUCAGCACCUCUUCAGGUUGUUCAGGGCCCAGAUGAGGAGCUCAGUUCUGAGGCCGUUUACACCAACAGCAGUGUAGAUGAACGCAUGGAGUCAGAGGAAGACCACAUAUAUGACCUGCUGGUCACCGCACACACAAAAAUGCCAAACACCUCCCAAAACAAAACAGAGCACACAGUCAAGUCUUCCAGCAGUGCUGUACCUCAGAAGAAGACAAGUGCACACACUGACCUGCAGCCUCCAGCAUGCAGCACAAAUACACUGCAGCCCCCUAUACCUGUAUUCAGUAAAGCCCAGACAUCUGCAGAGAGCUCAUCGUACGGCCAGGAUUUAAGCCCUGCCGUUCCCGAGCAGUUCACCGGUCUGCUUCACGGUUCCUCGCCGGUGGUCGACUGUCGGGAGGGAGCUUUCAAACUGCCUGCUUCUGGAGAGGAGACCUGCGAGGUUUCCGACGCAUCCACCAGCUCUGCCCCUCUCCACCAUCCCACCCCGUCGGUCACCAUGGAAACCGUUCUCCAGGACACAGACCCUAAAGCAAUCUACGCCACCGUUCACAAAGAGCGGCGCGAUUCGCCGAACCGCAACCCGUCCGUCCGCGAUUCUCCGUCGACGAGGAAGAAGGCUCCUCCGGGUGAUCUCAAGCUGGCUCGAAGCCUUUCGAAGUCUGAUUCUGACCUGCUGGUUUCGUCACCUGGUGAUGAAGAGACAGGAUUGGGUGGACGAAGUGAGUCUGUGUCCGACUGCAGCAUCACUAAGAGAAGACUGGAAAAGUCACCUUCUUUUACUUCAGAAUGGGAUGAGAGACAAAGGAUUUCUCUCUCUAUUCCAUGGAGACCGCGGCCCGACCAAAAAAUUGAGAAGAUCAUGACUCUGAUAGGAGCUGGCAUUGAUUUCUCUAAAGAACAGGACUGCCCUGUUUCAGGUGGAUCUGGGAGGCUUCUGGAUCAGCCGGUUGGUGAUUGGUUGGAACACAUAGGUCUUCCACAGUAUGAGAGUAAAUUGCUGCUCAACGGCUUUGAUGACCUGCGAUUUAUGGGAAAUGAUGUUAUGGAGGAGCAGGACCUGAAGGAAAUUGGCAUCGCUGAUCCUGGACAUCGGAGAAAGAUCCUGACUUCUGCUCGCUCUUUACCAAAGGUGAAAGCAUUGGGUUGUGAUGGAAGCACGUCUCUCGCUGCAUGGUUGGAUGUUUUGGGUCUUCAGGAAUAUCUGCACAACUUUCUGUCCAGUGGUUAUCGCACACUAGAGUCUGUAAAGAACCUUUGGGAAUUGGAGAUUGUUAAUGUACUGAAGAUCACACUGUUGGGUCACAGAAAACGGAUUAUUGCAUCAUUAGCUGAACGGCCCUAUGAGGAACCUCCUGUUAAACCCCCUCGCCUGUCCCAGAUCAGAUGUCAGGAUCUUUUGAGUUCAUCUCCUCUGGGUCAUUCAGACUCUUACACGUGCUCAAUGGAUCCUCUCUUGCCUGCAGCGGAUUCUGGGAGGAGAAGAGGACCCGAGUCAGACUAUGACCUGACAACCCGACAGCGAACAAACGACAGACCUCAACCGCAGGAGAGAUACGAGGAACGUCAACGGGAACCUCGCUUGACCUUACGACCCCCGAGUCUGGCAGCACCGUACACACCGGUCCAGAAUUGGCACCAUCAACCUGAAAAACUCAUUUUUGAAUCCUGUGGUUAUGAGGCCAAUUAUCUUGGCUCAAUGCUCAUUAAAGAGUUGAGAGGAACGGAGUCAACACAGGACGCCUGUUCUAAAAUGAGAAGAUCGACAGAGCAGAUGAAGAAGACCCCCACUAUCGUCCUCUCCAUCACGUACAAGGGUGUGAAAUUCAUUGAUGCUGCCAACAAGAACAUCAUUGCCGAACAUGAGAUCAGAAACAUCUCGUGUGCAGCUCAGGAUCCAGAAGAUCUCUGCACCUUUGCUUACAUCACUAAAGAUCUUCAGAGCAGUCAUCAUUACUGUCACGUCUUCAGCACUGUAGAUGUGAAUCUGACCUAUGAGAUCAUUCUGACAUUGGGACAGGCGUUUGAAGUGGCCUAUCAGCUGGCACUGCAGGCCCAGAGGAGCAGACAACAUCAGAGCUCAACAGGAGGAGCGGAAAUCAUUGAGACCAAGAGCAGUCGACCUGUACCCAAACCUCGAGAGAGUGUCCGCAAGUCUGGGUUGGAAGCGAUGGACGUGGACCCUCACAGUCAGAGCAGCGCAGCCUGGAUCACAGACUCCAAAGAUCCCAAGCCUACCGUCAGCACCAAGUAUGAGACCACCAUAUUCUGAUUGGACGAUCCUGUCCUCACAUCUCUCCUCCCUGUGCUCUGUGCCUUCACUCUCUAGAUAGACUUUGACUUUCCCUUCAUCGACAUUCAAUCGCUCUCUUUUCUCCUCCGGACUCGAUCGCUCCCUCAUUCGCUCCGUCCAGCUGAGGUCUGCUUUUGCUUUCACUGUCUGACUCUUUAUUCCUGAGGUUUAAAGGCUCAAAGAAACCUCCACUCCUCCUAAAUCCAUCCUCAAGAUUGUACGUCCCGUCGUAGCCCUAUAAGUUUGUGUAUGCUCACCACUUCACCUGUAGUUUCAUCUAAACUGACCUGAAACCAAAGUAAAUCUGCACCGAGGAUCAGAUCAUCUCUAGUAGUAGUAAAUAGUUUUAUUACCCGUAUAAACUAAGGCAAAUCUAAUAUUUCUUACUUGAUGUUACUUCCUCCAUCAUUCAUACUGAUGUUGGCUGCAGUGAAGAACUCGUUCCCAGUAUCAUCAUCAUCAUCAUCAUCACUAAACACGUACUGUAGCAGCAGAUCACAUGAUGAGGCACUUUAGAUGAGCGGGCUGACAGCUGUGUUGGAUGACAAACAGACAGGAAAAUAUGGAUGUCAAUGGCAGCAUCGCUAGGGAUGAAAGCUCACCUGUGUGAUGUGUGUGUGUUUAUCUGUCUGUUUGUGUGUUUAUUUUCUCUUAAUCCCAGACACACAGUUCACCCCGUCCAUGUGCAUGUGUUAUAACAUUAAACAAAACCGUCUCAUCUCAGAAUAAAGAUAUCUCACUUUGGUCAGAUUUCAGGUAUGUUCAAAGACUUAUUUUGCAAACACUGGAAAAACAAACGCGGCAGUCGCACUGUGUGUUUACACAACAUGAGAAGUCAGUGUUGAUGUUAUUAUUGCUUGGAUACUGUUUCACUUUUAUUUUCAUUGUGGGGAUGAAACCAAUGCUCUUUUAUCUUAAAGUCUAGAUGCUCUUACUUCGAAAAUAAAACCUAGUUAAAGUUAGAAACACUGAUUCCAGUUUAGCAAAACACUGAGAAGUUGAAUACAGUCUUGUCUUGUUGUUAUAACAGUUUAAGAUCGAUCCAUCAGUACGUAGAAAUAUAAAAAUUUGUAAUGUCAGUAUUUCAAGUCAAGUAACCAAGGCUUUGGUGAAAAGCUAACGCGUUUAGGUAAGACGAUUCAAAUCCUGUUAUCAGUUUAAAUAGGAAAGGUUUGUGUAGUUUAAAGAAAGAAACCAUAUGCCGGAUUAAUGCGAUGUUAUGUAACUUGUGUGGUACACUAAUAUAAGAAGUUAAAAGAUGACAUGAGAACGGUACGGUCCUGUUCUGGUACGCUUUGUGACUUUUACAAGUAUACUGUGAUUUUUAAUACAAAUGAUGAUGUUAAUGUGACACUAGGAACAACAUCCAGUUGUUUAUGUUGUUAUAGAGCUUCUUAACAAAACUGUUUGUCUUUAUUUUCUAUAAAUGAUUAAGUUGAUGAAAGCAGGGUUUGUUUACUGUUAAAUUUGCAUAUUCGAGUAAAAAUGUUGGAUGCUGGAGUGUAUGUAGAUAGUUCAUUAAUAUGACCUGUAGAUGGGAAAUAUCCCUCUUAGUUUACAAGCAUUUUAAGUCUGGUACUUUUUAUUUGAAACCUUAUUUUUACCACGGUACAUUAGAAAUGGGUAGAGUGCAGAUGCUAACGUUAGCGCCUGUAACAGCAGCAGUGUUUGCACAACCAAUCACGUUAGAAAAAUUAAAGCUCACGUCCUAAAUCAUUAAAAUAUAAACAAUGUUGAAUUGUAAAAUAAUCCUUGAUGUUUUGUCUUUUGAUACUUGAACGAUUCUGCUUUUAUAGAUAUCUCUAUAUAUGUAUAUGUAUGUAUUGUAUGUAAUUUUUGUUCGUUGAUAUGAUUUUUGGUCAUGUUUUUGUCCUAUCUAGAGAGGGAGAAGUCUUUUUAAAGCUCAACAUAUCAUGUUUGCAAGUGAGCGCGAGACUGACAAUGAAAUCUUUGAGAGAUUCUUGCCACAAAAUCAAAGAGAACGAUUGUACAUAAUCUUGGGCUUCCAGUCUUUUUUAUGAUUAUUAUUUUUCAUAAUUGUACAUCCAAUAAACAAGGAGAUGGUAUCCA